rnacentral:rRNA from 1 species
GAUGAACGCUGGCGGCGUGCUUAACACAUGCAAGUCGAACGGAAAGACCCUGCUCUUGUGGGGUGCUCGAUUGGCGAACGCGGGAGUAACACGCGUGUAACCUGCCCUUGUCUUUGGGAUAACUUCAGGAAACUGGGGCUAAUACCGGAUAGGAGCUCCUGCUGCAUGGUGGGCGUUGGAGAGUGUCGGCUGUUGGGGAUGGACUGGCGGCUUAUCAGCUUGUUAGGGGAGUAGUUGCGUACGAAGGCUUUGACGGGUAGGCCGCCUGAGAGCGUGACCGGCGACAUUGGGCCUGAGGUAGGGAGCAGUCGGGAAUGGUCGGCAACAGUGGGAAAUAUUGCAGAGUGGGCGGAAGCCUGUGACGGAGGUCCCGCGUGCGGGAAGACGGCCUUCGGGGUAUGAACCGCUUUCGACUGUGCCAAAGCGUGAUUGACGGUAAUGAGUAAAGAAGCCCCGGCUAACUACGUG